rnacentral:rRNA from 1 species
AACGAACGCUGGCGGCAGGUCUUAGGCAUGCAAGUCGAACGGCAGCGGGGGAGAAGCUUGCUUUUCCUGCCGGCGAGUGGCGAACGGGUGAGUAAUACAUCGGAACGUGCCCUGUAGUGGGGGAUAACUAGUCGAAAGAUUAGCUAAUACCGCAUACGACCUGAGGGUGAAAGUGGGGGACCGCAAGGCCUCAUGCUACAGGAGCGGCCGAUGUCUGAUUAGCUAGUUGGUGGGGUAAAGGCCUACCAAGGCGACGAUCAGUAGCUGGUCUGAGAGGACGAUCAGCCACACUGGGACUGAGACACGGCCCAGACUCCUACGGGAGGCAGCAGUGGGGAAUUUUGGACAAUGGGCGAAAGCCUGAUCCAGCAAUGCCGCGUGUGUGAAGAAGGCCUUCGGGUUGCAAAGCACUUUUGUCCGGAAAGAAAUGGCUCUGGUUAAUACCUGGGGUCGAUGACGGUACCGGAAGAAUAAGGACCGGCUAACUACGUGCCAGCCGCCGCGGUAA